UCAACUAAGUAAAGAAUUAUUUGACAAAUAUAUAUAAUUUAUAGGAUUAUUUUUGUUAUGCGGGCUAGCGGGCUACCCUCGGCCCGUUCGGGCUGGCCCUAACGGGUAGCGGGCUUUUUAGGUCCGGGCUAAAAAGCCCUAUUGAAAUUCGGGCUCAAUAUUUAAGGCCCAAGCCCUAUAAUUAAUCGGGCUAAACGGGCGGGCCCAUACGGCCCGGCCCGUUUUGACAGCUCUAAUAUUGUACAAUGAUCAUGAUUUUAAAAUAUUAGGCAUUAAGGAAAGUUUUGUUAUUGUGGAUUUUUCAAAAGAUGAUGGAGAGUUACCUUGAUAUUAAAGGCUUUUGAAAACAUGAGUUUUUAUCUGCAAAUGAAUUUCAUUAUUUAACGAUAAAUACCAAAUAUUUUAUUUUUAGUGUAGAGUGUCACAACAUCGAUCAUAUAAUAUUGUCAACAACAAAAUGCAUCUUAUGUUACUUUUAAUUUAGAAAAAAUUGUGUUGGCACCACUUAGGUUCAUUAUUUAUAAAAUUAGUUUUAUUUUUCAACGUUUAUCUUUAUUAAUUAUCAUUUCGGAC
rnacentral:lncRNA from 1 species